UUGUUUUGGCUGACUCUUUUUGGAGUGAAGAUUUUCAUUCUUACCCCGCUCUUCAGAAUCUCUUCUCAAAACCAUAGAUAUCACAACAUGUUUCAAAUGUUGUUACGUUCAUUAUUGGGUAGAAGCACACUGGAAUCUUUCCGCUGUCUUAGACGCACAAGGAUAUAAAUGACAACUCUUUAGGCCCUGAUGGUGAUCUUCGAGUCUAUCUAGAAAGUGUGGCCGCCAGUGAAAAUGUCAAAACAUUUGGAAUUCAAGGAAGAAUAGUAAACAUUACAGGAACAGAUGACUGUGUCUAGGUCCUCUCUACCUUCGGUCUUUAGUAGAGGUGGAAAAUGGCUCGAUUGGAUGAGUUAGGUAAUGGGUCAAAGCUGGUGGAUUUGUUCACUCGACGCUCAUACCGCGUUGGGGGUAGCGAUGCAAACCGGGCAAGCAUCAAUGUCACCGAAGGUCUGUGUUGGUGAAAUAAUGCGUGGAUAUGAUCUGCUUUCAAAUAUAUGCUCAGAGCUAAAAACUUCAUGAGAACUCAGCUAAAGACUUCAUGAAAACUCAUAAUUUUUCAACAACCAUAGAAGAUAUGCUCAGAGCUAAAGACUUCAUGAGAAUUUAGAGCCCUAACUACUGCACGACGUUGAGACAGGCAGAGCAUUCAGCGGGCGGAAGUGGCUCUGAAUGCACUCGCGAGCCGUGGUCCGUCGAAUUCGUUAGCGGCAAGGAUUUUGGAUGAGACAAGGGUGUACAAGAACCUACUGCAGGAUGGAGGGUUUGAUCUUUUUCAUGUUGGACAUGUUGAAGUAUGUAGCCUGUUGAUUUCUUAUCUUCAUCCAUCGGUAUUUUUUAAAUCCAUCUUUUUACUUCAUUUAUCCUCUUAUUGUAUAUGUUAGUCUUUGAUUUGUGUAUGUUUCAUGCAUUGCU
rnacentral:lncRNA from 1 species